GGAUGUGAGGGCAAUCUGGCUGCGACAUCUGUCACCCCAUUGAUCACCAGGGUUGAUUCUCGGCUGAUCUGGCUGGCUAGGCGGGAGUCCCCUUCCUCCCUCACCGCUCCAUGUGUGUCCCUCCUGAAGCUGUGUGCUAGGUUGAAGAGGAUGGCCGUCCCUGAAUAGAGACGGACCGGUGUUCGGUUGAGGGUAUACGAGUAGCUGCGCUCCCCUGCUAGAACCUCCAAAUAAGCUCUCAAGGUCCAUAAAAAGGAAACAUUGACAAAACCAAAGGAUAAGAGGGGUACAGCUUUGCACAGUUCCCAAAAGCGUGGAACUCUGUGUCCCA
ensembl:misc_RNA 7SK 7SK RNA